GGGGUCAGUAGGUUGGUCGUGCCACCGGUACGUACUGGUCUCACUGAUUCCUCCUUACUGAAGAACCGUAAUGCCAUUAAUUUGGUGUUGCGGGGAAACAGGACUGUUACUUUGAAAAAAUUAGAGUGUUUAAAGCAAGCUAACGCUUGAAUACAUUAGCAUGGAAUAAUGAAAUAGGACGAUCGAUCCUAUUUUGUUGGUUUCUAGGAUUGACGUA
rnacentral:rRNA from 1 species